CGGUGUUUAGCUGGCGUGAUGUGGGACGUCCUACCGGUGGGCUUAGCCUCGCGAGGGGCGGCCCAACUAAUAUCCCGUCGCGGUGCUCUUUACUGAGUGUCGAGUCGGGCCGGUACGUUUACUUUGAACAAAUUAGAGUGCUUAAAGCAGGCUAUCCUCGCCUGAAUACUGCGUGCAUGGAAUAAUGGAAUAGGACCUCGGUUCUAUUUUGUUGGUUUUCGGAACCCCGAGGUAAUGAUUAAUAGGGACAGAUGGGGGCAUUCGUAUUGCGACGUUAGAGGUGAAAUUCUUGGAUCGUCGCAAGACGGACAGAAGCGAAAGCAUUUGCCAAAAAUGUUUUCAUUAAUCAAGAACGAAAGUUAGAGGUUCGAAGGCGAUCAGAUACCGCCCUAGUUCUAACCAUAAACGAUGCCAGCUAGCGAUCCGCCGAAGUUCCUCCGAUGACUCGGCGGGCAGCUUCCGGGAAACCAAAGCUUUUGGGUUCCGGGGGAAGUAUGGUUGCAAAGCUGAAACUUAAAGGAAUUGACGGAAGGGCACCACCAGGAGUGGAGCCUGCGGCUUAAUUUGACUCAACACGGGAAACCUCACCAGGCCCAGACACCGGAAGGAUUGACAGAUUGAUAGCUCUUUCUUGAUUCGGUGGGUGGUGGUGCAUGGCCCGUUCUUAGUUGGUGGAGCGAUUUGUCUGGUUAAUUCCGAUAACGAACGAGACUCUAGCCUGCUAAAUAGGCGUACCUUAUGGUAUCGCGAAGGCCCCCGGCUUCGGCCGGCGGGUUUUUACUACCAACGUACAAACAAAUCUUCUUAGAGGGACAGGCGG
rnacentral:rRNA from 1 species